AACUGAAGAAAUUCUUCAAGCCUCAGGUC
rnacentral:piRNA from 1 species